UACGAGGGGGGGCGAGCGUUGUUCGGAAUUAUUGGGCGUAAAGGGUGCGUAGGCGGUUUGGUAAGUCUUAUGUGAAAUCUACAGGCUCAACUUGUAGUCUGCAUGAGAAACUGCCGGGCUUGAGUAUGGGAGAGGUGAGUGGAAUUCCUGGUGUAGCGGUGAAAUGCGUAGAUAUCAGGAAGAACACCCGUGGCUAAGGCGGCUCUCUAGUACGGUACUGACGCUGAGACGCGAAAGCGUGGGGAGCGAACAGG
rnacentral:rRNA from 1 species